AAAAAAUGGUUAAUGAAAUGAUUUUUAAAAAUUUUAUACAAAUAUAGAUAUAUAUAGGAAGAUGUGGUGUGAGUGCCAAUGAGACAACUCUCCAUCAAAAUAACAAUUUAAAAAAAAGUAAACCAUUAUAGGUCAAUGUACGGCCUUCAACACCGAGCCUUGGCUCACACCGAACAACAAGCUAUAAAGGGCCCCAAAAUUACUAGUGUAAAAC
rnacentral:lncRNA from 1 species